rnacentral:tRNA from 1 species
GAGGGUAGAGCUCAGGGUAGAGCACUGCUUACCAUGCAUGAGGUCCUGGGUUCAAUCCCCAGUAGCCCCA